UAAGCCAUCGGGGACCAUAACAGGAGUGUUCAUGUUGCAGGCCCUGUCAGAUUCUCUGAAUGCAAAUCCUGCU
rnacentral:ribozyme from 1 species